GAGGGAAAGGCGAAAAGAACCCCGGCGAGGGGAGUGAAAAAGAACCUGAAACCGUGUACGUACAAGCAGUAGGAGCCUCUUUAUGGGGUGACUGCGUACCUUUUGUAUAAUGGGUCAGCGACUUAUAUUCUGUAGCAAGGUUAACCGUAUAGGGGAGCCGUAGGGAAACCGAGUCUUAACUGGGCGAAUGAGUUGCAGGGUAUAGACCCGAAACCCGGUGAUCUAUCCAUGGGCAGGUUGAAGGUUGGGUAACACUAACUGGAGGACCGAACCGACUAAUGUUGAAAAAUUAGCGGAUGACUUGUGGAUGGGGGUGAAAGGCCAAUCAAACCGGGAGAUAGCUGGUUCUCCCCGAAAGCUAUUUAGGUAGCGCCUCGUGAACUCAUCUUCGGGGGUAGAGCACUGUUUCGACUAGGGGGUCAUCCCGACUUACCAACUCGAUGCAAACUGCGAAUACCGAAGAAUGUUAUCACGGGAGACACACGGCGGGUGCUAACGUCCGUCGUGAAGAGGGAAACAACCCAGACCGCCAGCUAAGGUCCCAAAGUCAUGGUUAAGUGGGAAACGAAGUGGGAAGGCUCAGACAGCCAGGAUGUUGGCUUAGAAGCAGCCAUCAUUUAAAGAAAGCGUAAUAGCUCACUGGUCGAGUCGGCCCGCGCGGAAGAUGUAACGGGGCUAAACCAUGCACCGAAGCUGCGGCAGCGACACA
rnacentral:rRNA from 1 species